AGGACGAACGCUGGCGGCGUGCUUAACACAUGCAAGUCAAGGAGAAAGGAUAUCUUCGGAUAUCUGAUUACACUGGCGGAUGGGUGAGUAACGCGUAGGCAACCUACCUUCAGGUUUGAGAUAACACUGCUAACGCGGUGCUAAUACCGGAUGGUGCAUAUACACUGCAUGGUGUAUAUGUUAAAGCUGGCCACUGAUAUAAGCUAGUACCUGUAGAUGGGCUUGCGUUUCAUUAGUUAGUUGGUGGGGUAAUGGCUCACCAAGGCGACGAUGGAUAGCCGGCCUGAGAGGGUGAUCGGCCACACUGGGACUGAGAUACGGCCCAGACUCCUACGGGAGGCAGCAGUGAGGAAUAUUGCGCAAUGGCAGAAAUGCUGGCGCAGCAACGCCGCGUGAGGGAUGAAGCUUUUCGGAGUGUAAACCUUUGUUAGGAGGGACGAACGGGCAUAAUACGAAUAGGGUUAUGCCGUGACGGUACCUCCAGAGGAAGCCCCGGCUAACUCCGUGCCAGCAGCCGCGGUAAUACGGGGGGGGCAAGCGUUGUCCGGAAUCAUUGGGCGUAAAGGGCGCGUAGGCUGACAGGUCAGUCUGUGGUGCAAUCUUGUGGCUUAACCGUAAGUUUGCCAUGGAAACUACCUGUCUUGAGAUCGGAAGGGGGAAGCGGAAUUCCUGGUGUAGCGGUGAAAUGCGUAGAUAUCAGGAAGAACACCGGUGGCGAAGGCGGCUUCCUGGUCCGAGACUGACGCUGAUGCGCGAAAGCGUGAGGAGCGAACAGGAUUAGAUACCCUGGUAGUCCACGCUGUAAACGAUGGGCACUAGGUGUUGGGCGUCAAGUUCAGCGCCGGAGCAAACGCAUUAAGUGCCCCGCCUGGGGAAUACGAUCGCAAGAUUGAAACUCAAAGGAAUUGACGGGGGCCCGCACAAGCGGUGGAGCAUGUGGUUUAAUUCGAUGCAACGCGAAGAACCUUACCUGGGCUUGAACUGCAGAGGCACGUACCCUGAAAGGGGUAUUUCCUUCGGGACUUCUGUAGAGGUGCUGCAUGGCUGUCGUCAGCUCGUGCCGUGAGGUGUUGGGUUAAGUCCCGCAACGAGCGCAACCCUUGCUCUUAGUUGCCAUCAGGUAAAGCUGGGCACUCUAAGGGGACUGUCCCGGAUAACGGGGAGGAAGGUGGGGAUGACGUCAAGUCAUCAUGGCCCUUACGUCCAGGGCUACACACGUGCUACAAUGGCCGGUACAACGGGAAGCGAGACCGUGAGGUGGAGCCAAUCCCUUAAAACCGGUUUCAGUUCAGAUUGUAGUCUGCAACUCGACUGCAUGAAGUUGGAAUCGCUAGUAAUCGCGGAUCAGCAUGCCGCGGUGAUACGUUCCCGGGCCUUGUACACACCGCCCGUCACGCCAUGGGAGUCGAUAGCACCCGAAGCCGGUGGCCCAAUCUUCGGAGGGGAGCCGUCGAAGGUGAGAUCGGUGACUGGGGCGAAGUCGU
rnacentral:rRNA from 1 species